GACCAGCAUCCUGAGUAGAAGGAUGUGUGACACUGCCCUCCCUGACUCUGCCUGGGGCCCCACCCUGCUCUGCUGUGUUACUGUCUUUCUCCUGGGAACAAAACACAUGGAGGCUGCAGUCACCCAAGACCCAAGAAGCAAGGUGACAGUAACAGGAGGAAAGGUGACACUGAGCUGUCACCAGACUUCCAACCACAACAAUAUGUACUGGUAUCGGCAGGACCUGGGUCAUGGACUGAGGCUGAUCCAUUACUCAUUUGGUGCUGGUAGCACUGAGAAAGGAGAUGUCCCUGAUGGGUACAAGGUUACCAGACCAAGUCAAGAGAACUUCUCUCUCAUUCUGGAGAUGGCUUCCCCCUCUCAGACAGCUGUGUACUUUUGUGCCACCAGUGAUGCACAGCAAUGUGUGGCUGUCUCCUCUCUGCACAUAAAGUAAAUUAGGAUGACAAGUUUCCUGUGUGGCCCAGGAUUUCUUUGCCUCUUUAAGAGUCACUGAGCUCUACAAACUAGGCACAUUUCAGCAUGGGUCUCAGCCUGACUGAAGUCCACUCUAACAUCUUUUCUUGGCUGCUUGUGUUAUAUCCACCCCUUAGUUCUCCUUACUAAGAGGAAAAUGAAUCUUUCUGUUGUGUUUUGUUGAGGUUUUCUUUCUUUCUUUUUUUUUUUUUUUGAGGGUUUUUCUGUGUAAGUCUUGACUAUCCUCAUAGUCUGUAGACCAGGCUGGCCAAAAACUCACAGAGAUCUGCCUGCCUUGCUACCAUGUGCUAGGAUUAAAGGCUUGUGCUACCAGUACUAUGGCUGGUUGAAAAUUAAUCAUUAACUAAAAUUCCUGAUGACCUGUUUGAUAAAGUCAUAGCCAUCAUUUCCCUCUUGGUGGCCUCAGUGAACUCCUUAACCACUCUGCUAUCCACCUGAGCCACUUACAUGGUGUCUUUCCAGGCUGUGUUUACCCUACAGGUCAGUAGUCCCUUUGUUAUAUAGGACAAAAAUCCAUAAGGUCCUAUGUCAUUUUCUUCACUCAUCUCUAUCAUCAGCCUUUACCCAGACUUCUCUGUUUUUUCCUCUCCAGCUGAACUUGUCUACAUUCCAUUACUUCCUCAUAUGUGCUGUGCUGUUUUCACCUCUGGGGAUACUUUCCUAGGACAUUUCUUCUGCACUGAAGUCACGCCUUUCCCUCUUGCUCUGGAUCUCUACCUCCCAUGAAAAUCUAUUUCAGGUUGGAUUAUUUUUUUUUUUUUACCUUUUUAGGAUUUUAAUUUAUUUACAGUAUUUCACCCUUACUUCCUCUUCACAUGAUUUUCUUUCCUUUUAAAUUCAUUAUCUCUUAUUUAUUAUUAUUUUUUGUUGGUUUUAUGUUUGUGUGUUU